UACGUAGGGUGCAAGCGUUGUCCGGAAUUAUUGGGCGUAAAGAGCUCGUAGGCGGUUUGUCGCGUCGAAUGUGAAAACCCGGGGCUCAACUCCGGAAUUGCCUUUAAGACUGCAUCGCUAGAAUUGUGGAGAGGUAAGUGGAAUUCCGAGUGUAGAGGUGAAAUUCGUAGAUAUUCGGAAGAACACCAGUGGCGAAGGCGACUUACUGGACACAUAUUGACGCUGAGGUGCGAAAGCGUGGGGAGCAAACAGG
rnacentral:rRNA from 1 species